rnacentral:misc_RNA from 1 species
GAUGAAGAACGUAGCGAAAUGCGAUAAGUAAUGUGAAUUGCAGAAUUCAGUGAAUCAUCGAAUCUUUGAACGCACAUUGCGCCCGCCAGUAUUCUGGCGGGCAUGCCUGUUCGAGCGUCAUUUCAACCAUCAAGCCCCGGGCUUGUGUUGGGGACCUGCGGCUGCCGCAGGCCCUGAAAUGCAGUGGCGGGCUCGCUGUCACUCCGAGCGUAGUAGUUACAUCUCGCUCUGGGCGUGCUGCGGGUUCCGGCCGUUAAAAGCCUUAUUUACCCAAGGUUGACCUCGGAUCAGGUAGGAAGACCCGCGGAACUUAAGCAUAUCAAUAAGCGGAGGA